UACCUGAUUUCAGACUUAGAGGCUUAGAGGAUGACACUCUGCACCAGUAUCACUGGGCACCUUCAGGAACUGUUUGUGGGAAUAAUCAUCCUCUGCCUGGUUGGGUUAAACUACAUCCAGCUUAAUGUUGAUUCAGAGGAGAUGUGUGCCUGUUUCCAGUGUAUGGCAGAAAGUAAAGACGACCCCUGGUUUGCGGAGCGCUACAAGAACCUGGUGCCAAAACUUCUGUCCAGGCAGAACAGCGAGCUCAGUCCAAACACCAGGAAAUGGUGGGAGAGGCUUCAAGGUAGACCAACUAAAAAGAACUACAGUGCAGUUGUGGAGACUCUGUUCUCGCUGUUCCCUGAUGAAGAACACUACUCUGACGCUGGUCCUCACCGCUGCAGAACCUGUGCUGUGGUGGGAAACUCUGGAAAUCUGAAAGGAUCUCAUUAUGGCCCUCUAAUAGACGCCCAUGAUGUUGUCAUAAGGAUGAACAAAGCCCCCAUUGCAGGCUUUGAGAAGGACGUUGGAUUGAAGACCACUCACCAUGCUAUCUACCCCGAGAGUGCUGUGGACAUGGACAACUCCACCCACCUCGUCCUGGUACCAUUUAAAAUUCUGGAUCUUGAGUGGCUCAUCAGUGUCUUCACCACCAAACACAUCACGCGCACACGUCUUGCAGUGAAAAACACAAUACAAGCAGACAUGGACAAGGUGAUGAUAUUGCACCCUGAGUUUAUGAAGUAUGUCAGUGAGAUCUGGCUGAAGCAAAAAGGGAAAUAUCCUUCUACUGGAUUCAUCAUGCUUGUGUUCUCCCUGCACAUCUGUGAUCAGGUGAAUGUAUUUGGAUUUGGUGCCAGUAAAAAUGGGAACUGGUACCAUUACUUUGACAAAAGAUAUCGUCAUCAUCUCAAUACGGGCCACCAUAAAGGAAGCGCUGAAUACAACAUCACUCUGACACUCUCUCUGAAGAACAAGAUCCAGAUGUAUAAAGGAUGGUGAAUUUAAGUCAGAUUAAUAAUGUAGGAGCUGAUUGUAGGAUUUCUGGGGGUUAACCUUCAAUAUCAGACUCCAACAGUACUCAUACAGUAUACUAUGUGGGAUGUAUAAUUUCCUUUGGGAAAGAAAACGGUUGGCAACAUUCCCACCAUUUAUUAGCAGAUGGCACUCUAACCUGACUUCAGAAGCGUGGCAUACAUGCAGGGCUGACCGCGGGUAGUGAUGGACCUGACCAACCGACGUCCUUCCUGAAGAGGUCCCAACAAAAGACUCAGAAAUAAACUUAUUUUAGCUUCUAGUUUUGAUACUUGAUGUUAUUAUACAAGACUUGUAUUGUUUUCCUUCAUAAUCUUUUAAAGUCUGCUUGUCUACCUGUUGUUUCUGUUAUGCCCGCACAUCACUCCCUUAAAUAUAAAGUGAGCACAUGUAUCGUGGAACUUCUCCACUGUCAACUACAGAUGUCAGUCAGUAGCUGUCCAGCAGUUCUGACUUGACUAAAAUGAAAAUCAGGAUUACACAAACCAAACGAGCAGAGAGAAGCAAAAGAGGGGAGGCAAAUCACGACCCAUUGCUUUCAGAACACAGAUGAGCCCGAAGCGCCAAACGCAAACAUAGUAAUGGGAGCUAUAUUAACUAGGUUCGCUAACUAGCAAUUUGCUGUAUUUGCAGUCAUUUCUAACAAGUAUAAGCAGAUAAAGAAGCAUGGGAUUUGAUUCAAGGCAAGUUUUUUUUUCCCCAAUAACGUAACAGACAGUGUUUCUGCAAUCACAGCCCAGUUAAGUUCAGUCUCAGCUCAGCAGCUAACCUAUAAAAUACACACUGUUAGUUCCAGAGGUAACACUUUAUUUGAAGGCUACCUACAUAAGGACUUCAUGACGC